UACGGGGGGGGCAAGCGUUGUUCGGAAUUACUGGGCGUAAAGGGCUCGUAGGCGGCCGGCUAAGUCAGACGUGAAAUCCCUCGGCUUAACCGGGGAACUGCGUCUGAUACUGGAUGGCUUGAGUUCGGGAGAGGGAUGCGGAAUUCCAGGUGUAGCGGUGAAAUGCGUAGAUAUCUGGAGGAACACCGGUGGCGAAGGCGGCAUCCUGGACCGACACUGACGCUGAGGAGCGAAAGCCAGGGGAGCAAACGGG
rnacentral:rRNA from 1 species